rnacentral:rRNA from 1 species
AACGAACGCUGGCGGCAGGCCUAACACAUGCCAGUCGAGCGAGGACUUCGGUUCUAGCGGCGGACGGGUGAGUAACGCGUGGGAAUGUGCCCUUCUCUACGGAAUAGCCCUGGGAAACUGGGAGUAAUACCGUAUACGCCCUAUUGGGGAAAGAUUUAUCGGAGAAGGAUCAGCCCGCGUUGGAUUAGGUAGUUGGUGGGGUAAUGGCCUACCAAGCCGACGAUCCAUAGCUGGUUUGAGAGGAUGAUCAGCCACACUGGGACUGAGACACGGCCCAGACCCCGAGGGGGGGCGGCGGGGGGGAGUUUUAAAAAGGGGGGGCACCCCGAACAUGCCCAGCCGGUGGGGGAGAGAAAGCCUUUGGGUUUGAAAACCCCUUCGGGAGGGGAAGAAAAGGCGGUCCCGGGAGAAAAAGCCCCGGCCAACCCCGGGC